CAACAACAAAUAAACACUAGUUCUCAAUUAUGACCUUUAUGGAUAAAUCAGUCAUACCCUUGGAAUAGAUCAAUUAUACAUUCUUUUAUCAUGAUAUCUUUGUUUAGACCAAGAACACACCCAUUUGUGACUGCAAAUGAUAAAUCUGUGAAGCUGUAUUUGUGAUAUUUAAUAUUACCAGUCACAGUACUAAGUGUUUCCCUUCAAAUAAGUGCAUACAUGACUUCUACGUGAAAGUUCAAAAGAGAGACUAUAUGAUGUGUGGGCAAUCAAGUUACUGCAUAGCACAUAUGCAGUUUUGGGGAUGCAUCUGUGAGCACAUCAUGGUUCAGAUUAACAUGAUAAAGAACAAUAAAGUACAAACUAGUAAACAAAAAGAAAAGUAAAACAAAAUCCUAAACUUACAAAGAAUGAUAUCUAUGCUCUUUAAAAAGUUAAGUAAUAAAAACCAUGAAAAAGCAUAUUCGACCCAAGCAUGUUAUCAUUGAUUGUAAUUUUUAACAUUAAACUAAUACAAUUAUAUAACCAAUAGCAAUAAGGAAGAAUAUUACAUGAAUGCAAUCAAAAUGUUCAAUACUUGGAUGACCACAAAAGCACCUGCAAAAUAGUAGGCAGCCACACAUGCAGUUCCACAUCACAAAUGCUGUAAUACCACACCUUAUGCAAUGUUCUGAUAUGAUCAGAUUGUAUAAUGCAGCAGCAUAAACUGCCUUUUUAAAAACAUUGAUUAAGGUGAUAGAAAGAAAAAAAAGGUCAUUCAAGAACAAGGGUAAUAUUUGUUUGCUGAAGUAAUCACAUGAAUAAGAAAGAAAGGGAUAGAUCUAAGCACUUUAUAUAUAUAUAUAUAUAUAUAUAUAUAUAUAUAUAUAUAUAUAAUCAUGGCACGAGUGAUAAGAAUUAGUGACAGACAAAAUCUUUUUUUUCUUUUAGUUGCAGCUUGGAUGUCAGAAACAAGUAACUGUUAUAACUAAGUGCCUAUAUUUCAAGGGUCGACAAAAGAUAUGAUUCAGCAAUAUAGGCAGAUCAACAUCACACUUGGAUAAUUCUUA
rnacentral:lncRNA from 1 species